rnacentral:tRNA from 1 species
UAAAUUUUAAGUUAUUAUAAACUAAGAACCUUCAAAGUUCUCAAAAAGAUUUUUCUUAAAUUUAA